CAAAAAAAUUUUUCCAACUGGUUUUUUUCUCCUUCCAUCCUACUCCCGAUUGUGAGAUUACCCAGCUACUUCUUCAUGCAUGCUUACACGAAUCGCUUCCUUGCUUCGAUGGGAGAGUGCUCUGCGAUUUUCUGAGAUAGAGGGAGAUGGUGGAAGAAAAACAGAAUUGAUUUAGGACUGAUGAAUGGAUUGGUUUCUUCUCAGGCGGAAUCACCAGGAAUUUGUUAUUCCAAUGAUUUGGUUCUGCCUCUGAUGAUGAGGUCAUCCUGCUUUGAUUGGACGUCACCGUCCAUUUUCAGUGACCCAUGAAGCUGCAGAGAUAUGGAUUGCUGAGUGAAGAAGAAGAAGAAGGCGGCCAAGGAGGAGAAGCAGAAGAGUUUCUUGACGAAGAAGGCGAUGAAACCAAACAAGUCUUGGAUUUGCCUGUUUGUUCUUCAAAUCACGAAGGAGAUUUGGCUAAAGCCAACAAUGAUGGGGAUCAUAGAGGAAGAAAAAGGUCAGCGAUUCAUCUGGUUACAGAGAAUGGAAGCAGAAAAGCUGUAUUAGUGAAGGAGAUUUCAGAAAUUACAGAGAGACUAUGUAUCUGUAAAUUUUUUUUUUUUUGCACUUUAAGCAUUUACCAUAGGAAGAUGAAAACUUAAAAAAAAACUUAGAAGGGUGCUUAAGCAAAAAAGUAUCCAAAAAAAUUAUAUAAAAAUGGUUAAGCAUCUCUUAGGGGUGCUAACCAUUGAAGAUGGUCUUAGACCACCUCCAACGCAGGGUAAAAUGAGGUUUUUCGAAGGGGUUCAUCA